GGGUGAUAGUUCUGUGUGAAUCCUGCAGGUAAUCCUGUCACACACUUUGGGUCAGUAGGAGGACGUAACAUCGUAUUCCUAGAUCGUCGUAAACGAUAACCGACCGUUAUUUUUAUAUAUGUGCAUGUUGUCACAAAGUAACAGACAUGAGCGGGAAGUUGCUAGCUACGAAAUAGGGUCUGAUUGAAUUUGUCAGUGAACGCAUCGGAGUCGCACGUGGGACAGAAGCUACUCUGCAAGCCACCGACGCAGAGCGAGACAGAGUCGCUCGCGACUUUGAGCGUCGUUACUGAAACACAGGAAGAGGCGUUAAAACGGAUGUUUGGCAAUGACCCAUGCGGUGAACGCGGCCACACACGCUUCACUUUUAUCCCCUCGCCUUUAACUUGAACAUUUCAGCCACACAUCAGAGCUUUACGCUUCAGCCGCCGUGUUUGGAUUAUUGUGCGCGCUGUUGGCAGUUUGUCAGAGUGCAGCGAGCGUUUGAGGAAACAUGGGAACUCAGGGCACCGGACGGAAAAGAUCGACCAAGAAGGAGAGGACGACGGCGGAGGACGAUGCCCUGGAUUUAAUAGCCAGAGAGGCCGAGGCCAGGCUGGCAGCGAAGAGGGCAGCCAGGGCAGAAGCCAGAGAGAUCCGGAUGAAGGAGCUGGAGAGACAACAGAAGGAGAUCUUUCAGGUUCAGAAGAAAUACUAUGACUUGAAUCCAAAGCCAGAUGAUGUUGCUGACAGAAAAUGGGGAGAUAUUGAACAAUGGAUGGAGGACAGUGAGAGAUACUCACGUUCUUCACGGAUGCGCACGCUUUCAGACGAUGAUGAGCGGAUGUCUGUGGGAAGCCGGAGCAGUGUCAGGAGCUCCUCCUCACAUAAGAAGUCAAAGAAAAAGAAGAAGCAUAAGCACAAAGACAGAGAUAGAAAUGGCUAUGAUGAUGAUGAUGAUGAUGAUUACAGUGUCCUGUCCAGCCGGAGCUCCAGACUCAGUGAGGACAGCCGGCUUUCUCAUGCGUCCAGAUUAGACCUGCAGCCGGCUUCCUAUGCUUCCUCUGACUUGUACGGCCUUAAUGGUCUGUCCUCCUCCAGACACGCAGGUUCAACUCUCAAUGGUUACCAGCUCUACAGGUCAACCACUCAAUUCAGCCAGCAGCUUUGUUAUGGGAGCUCCUUAUACGAUGACGGUCUCGGAUCACGGCGAGUCACUGGCUCCAGCUCCCAUCCUUUAGAGUACACUAAUUAUGUCAGCAGCAGCUCCAGAGCUUCCAGCAGGGCCAGUUCUGCCCGUGCCAGCCCAGUGGAAAACUGCGGCUCGGUUGCCAGUUUUCUGAGAAGCACAGCCAGUAGCGGUGUCCUCCCCCGGGACCUGGAUGAUGUUACUAUUCCUGACUUUUCAGAUGUGGACGACAAAGAAUAUCUUGAGAAGGGAUCUAGAGCAGCAUCUGCCCUGACAGCAGCCACGCUCUCCUCUGUCGGCGGGACGUCCUCACGCAGAGGAAGUGGAGAGACGGCCGGAACUGUGGACGCUGACACUUCAAUACGUGAAAUCAAGGAGAUUCAUGAACUGAAGGAUCAGAUUCAGGAUGUGGAAACCAAAUACACACAAAAUCUAAAAGAAGCGAAGGAGGCAUUAGCAGAGGUGGAGGAGAAGUACCGUAAAGCCAUGGUGUCCAAUGCCCAGCUGGAUAACGAGAAAACCAACCUGAUCUACCAGGUGGACACACUAAAGGACUCGCUCAUGGAGCUGGAAGAACUGCUGUCCGAGUCACGUCGGGAGUUUGAGGAGAAAGUGAAGGAGUGUGAGCGAGAGAAGUAUGGCCACAGCGUGCUUCAGUUCCAGUUUAAUGAACUGAAGGAGACGCUCAAACAAAGUGAGGAGCUCCUAAAUGAGAGCCGCCAGCUGCGUAUGAAACAGGAUGGUUUUGUUAGAGAAAUAUCUGAUCUUCAGGAGACACUGGAGUGGAAGGAUAAAAAAAUUGGGGCCUUAGAGCGACAGAAAGAAUACACAGAUGCAAUCAGAGUUGAGCGUGAUGAGCUCAGAGAAGAGGUGGUGAAGCUGAAAGACGUUCUGAAGAAACAUGGCAUAGUGCUGGGACCUGAUCUGACUGUGAACGGGGACAUCGGUGAGGCAGAGGUUGACGGGCUCCCCAGCGGAGACGCCGCCCCCACCCCGGCUCAGGUUUCCCAGACCUCUCCAGUGGAGGGCAAGAGCAUGCUUGGCAAUGCAGAGGAGAAUCAGUUGAGAAGUAGCAUAAAGGAAGAGGUGCAACAAGAGCAGCAUCAAGAAUCGUGGACAGAGGAAUCCAAACAGAAUAACCUGAGCUCUGAUGCACUUUGUAGUCUUGCUGGCGUGUCCUCACUAAAAACAUCUAGUGAAACACCAUCUACAAAAUCAGAAUCAAAAAACCAACAGAUAACUUCACCCACAGAUGCAAACACUGAAGAAAGCAAGGACUUGAAUAUUGGCCCAGUCAGAGAAGCCAAAGAUAAAAUCAUUUGCAGCCCUGAGCUUGAAGAAAUUGUACGUGCUGAGGAAAAUAUUCCAGAAAAAGAAACCUUAGGAAGUGAUUUAAAAGAGAUAAAUAAUCCAUAUGUAGAGGAGGAAAACAAAAGUGCUGAUGAUACAGAGGCAGUUCAAGCACAGGAAGAUAGGAAAGAGGCUGUUGAAGAAAGUGAUUUAAAGAAUAAAUUAAUGGAUCAUCAGCAGAAUGCAAAAGGUUCACUUAAUGAGUCUGCCCCAGCACCGUCAAAUGCAGAGUCUCAACAAGAAAUGGAAAAUGUCUGUGAAGAAGAAAACAGUGAGACGGAGGAACUUGCCAGUAAAACACUCUCGAAGUCUCAAGAUGCUACGACCUCGGGUAAGAAGAAGAAGAGGAAGAGAAGAGGAAAAAAGAAAGGCAGUACUCAAGAGGAUAAGAGCCAACAAAAAGAUGAAGUACAGAAAGAAGACAAAGCAAGAAUAGAUGUAGAACUGGAUAAAGGAGGUAAUGGCUCAACAAAACAAUGUAAAGUUGAUUCUGCCAACAAAGGCCUUAAGGACCAGAAGCUGGGUCAGUCUAAGACUGAGCAAACGGCAGAAACACAGCAAGCUACUGAACCAAAAAUGGAUCACACAGAUCAAACUUUGGAAACAAGGACAUUAGAGGGCACAGAGGAAGUGUCACUCACUGAAACCCAAGCUCAUACUCACUCUCCCCAAGAAACAAGAACACGUCCCUUAAAGAACGAACAGGACGAUAAAGAACUUGCGGAGUCAAAAGGAAUAGACAGAGUUCAAUCUGCAGUAAGAGACCAGUGUCCAGAGACCAUCAGCACACAUGACUUCUGUGAAAGUCCUGAAGCCUCUAGCAUUAACCAAGCUGGGAAUGAGCAGCAGGAGCAGGAAAGGGAGGGGUUGACAGAAGCAGAAACAGUGGAUUCCACUGGAUGCAAAGAUGAUGAAACGACAAUGACAAAUGAUCAAAGUUUAAAGCCUGAGACAGUCGAGGAAGUAGAGGUAGCAGCAGCCACAGAGACCUCGGUCCAUGCAGAGAGAACGGUCAUUACCCCCUGUGGAGUGUCAAAGGAUGAGCAGGAUGAAGAACAAAAUGUGAAGAGAGACACCGUAGAAACCCUGGAGGACUCCCUCAGCAUGUCUAGCCUCUUUGUCUCCUCUGAGAUGAUAGGGAGUGGAGCUAGCCCUGACAAAGAAUCUCCUUCCAGUCUAAAUACCUGUAAUAAUGGGGAAGCUGAGCCAGGACGAGCGGAGAUAAAACCUGCAUGUAUAACCAGCAACACAGAAACCAAACCUGUAACAAACAGCACGGAAAGCACUGACAGGAAAUGUAGAGAUCCAAGCAGUGGUGAUGCUCCAGCUGAUGAGUUGGAGUUCACGCAUUCUCAAACAGUCGGCCUUGAAGGCUCUGAGUUACCAUUAGAGUCGUCUGUAGCCAUCAGUGAUUCUGCUAGAGAAUGUGAGGAGGCAGCUGAGACGGUCAAAGAGCAGGAAAUGAAAAUUGAACAAGAAUGGUGCCUUUAUAGUCAUGAUGAUCGGAAUCCAGAGAUAGAAGAUAGAAUGGAGAAGAGGCCUGAGGAUGCAGCAUGUCACCGUUGUAACGCUGAAGAAGAAGAGGAAGCUGUAGCUGAAAUAGAAAGUCAGACAGCGUCUGAUGAGUCUAAUGUGUGGUCGUCUCCAGAAACAGAUGGCCUCAUUGCAGCAAAUCCCACAGACUCCCCCAGAGAAGAAGCUCAUCUCGAGCAGGAAUCAAGUCUUGUAAUAGAGUCUCAACAAAAAAAUUGCAGAAAUGACGGGGACUGUGAGACGACGUGGCCUUUAAAUGAGCUGCUGCAUUCUACAGAUUCAUCUCAGCCCAUUGAGCAGGACGGUGACGGAGGCUGCUGUGAAGAUGAGGAGGGCCAGUCCUUUGAUUUUGAUGACAUGGAUGUAGAAACAGCUGUAGCAUCACAUGUGUCUAGGGAUCUAGAUCAGGAAGAAGCUGAGGAUGCAGUUGAGGUUGUGGCAGAUGAAAGUCACAGUGUUGUUUCAGUGUCGGGCCGCAGUUAUUCUGAACCAGAUGAGAACACGCAGGAGAAGCCAGUUAAAGCCAGAGACGAGAAGCAUGAAGCUGAAGUAGGUCCACAGGAAAAAAACUUACAUGAUUUGACUGAAGGCAUCACAAACUCUUUGCCUCAGGAGACCAAACCUGAAAAGAAGGAAAAUGUGGCAGAUGAGGAAGGAAAAGUUAUUAAUGAUGUAAAUGCACAGAACAUGAAGCAAGCAGCAUCUGUCUCUGCAGAUGAAGCAUCAGAUGCUAUUAGACAUGAGAUGCAGAAGGACGCUUUAGUUUUACCAAAGAGUGAUGAUCAAGGGGAGGUCAGUAGGGAGCUACUGCAGGCAGGGAAAGACGGGAAGAAGAGCAGCAAGAAAGGCAAAGGAAAGAGCAAAGAGGAGUGUAAAAUGUCCUAAGAUGUCCCAGUCCCCAGUUGAAAGCAGCAUGUCACUGAUGUAUGUAACUUCUCUUUGCUUUGUCGGUUACACAAUUAAAGUAUGUGCAAAGCUUCACAGCACCUGGAUGAUUUUCAAAAUGAGCUUUGGUGUCGGGGGGAAACGUCUGUAUUAACAUUCCACUUCAGUUUUCUCUGGGACUGUUUAUGUGUUGGGGGUCGUGGGAAUGAAGAUGUCACCUAGCGCUGGGUAACACAGGCCUCUGUGUUUGGCAGCAGUGCAGUAUUGUUGAACCUGCAUAUUUACAUGCUGCUUGUGAUGGUUGAGGGAAGGUACAGGUUCUGUGACGUUAUCAGAUGCUUUGUAACAUCCAAUCCAAAAAACAACAAAAAUCAAAAACAAACCAAACUGGUCAAUUUUAUUGAGACUCCAACAUACUUUUACAUGUUUUCUCUCAAUCUUUUUAAAGUGAGACCAAUGUGCAGAUGAGUUAAUGACCUUAAUUUUUUUAAGCGCAUCUUGGCCGUUCUGAUCACAAGUGGACAGCACUUAUUGUAACAUGGAAACUCCUGACGUGUUGAACUGAUAUCUGAAAUCGGAAAUGAUGGUGUGGAAGCACUUUGAUGCAAAAAUACAACACUGUCUGGUGCACGUGUGCCAGAAUCUGCAAACAUCUGUCACGGUAGGCAGAGGUUCAGUACAGCAACCCAUACGUUCUCCACCCUGUGAUCAGGUCGACAAAGACACGCAUUCAUGACAGUUGUAUAUGUCUCAAUAAAUGCUUCUUGUUGCACUUAAUACAGUAGAAAAGAUGAAUGUGUCAAUAAAUACUAUUUUGUUACCACUGAGACUAAAGGAACUUUGAAUUUCUUGCAAACGUGACGACUCAGCAGGACGGCUCCAGCCUCCGUGUUGACGUAGCACAUUAACAUCCGCAUCAGCAUGUUGUCUGUGUACUGGUGUGCGUUGACCCUCCUCUCCACAGUACGUGCAUGUUAACACUCACCCCUCACACUCCUCACCCCCGUGGAUGUCUGCCCCGUUGCAUGCACCCACCAUGACCCAGCCCCCUUCCACCAGCUAGUUGUUUCCUCUCACUCUGAGAUUCGUCUGAGGAAGCUGGUGGAUGAACGGGAAAAAAUGAUAGAGCAGGU